AGUUUGAUCAUGGCUCAGGAUGAACGCUGGCGGCGUGCUUAACACAUGCAAGUCGAACGAUGAUCCCCAGCUUGCAUGGGGGAUUAGUGGCGAACGGGUGAGUAACACGUGAGUAACCUGCCCUUAACUCUGGGAUAAGCCUGGGAAACUGGGUCUAAUACCGGAUAUGACUCCUCAUCGCAUGGUGGGGGGUGGAAAGCUUUUGUGGUUUUGGAUGGACUCGCGGCCUAUCAGCUUGUUGGUGAGGUAAUGGCUCACCAAGGCGACGACGGGUAGCCGGCCUGAGAGGGUGACCGGCCACACUGGGACUGAGACACGGCCCAGACUCCUACGGGAGGCAGCAGUGGGGAAUAUUGCACAAUGGGCGGAAGCCUGAUGCAGCGACGCCGCGUGAGGGAUGACGGCCUUCGGGUUGUAAACCUCUUUCAGUAGGGAAGAAGCGAGAGUGACGGUACCUGCAGAAGAAGCGCCGGCUAACUACGUGCCAGCAGCCGCGGUAAUACGUAGGGCGCAAGCGUUAUCCGGAAUUAUUGGGCGUAAAGAGCUCGUAGGCGGUUUGUCGCGUCUGCCGUGAAAGUCCGGGGCUCAACUCCGGAUCUGCGGUGGGUACGGGCAGACUAGAGUGAUGUAGGGGAGACUGGAAUUCCUGGUGUAGCGGUGAAAUGCGCAGAUAUCAGGAGGAACACCGAUGGCGAAGGCAGGUCUCUGGGCAUU
rnacentral:rRNA from 1 species